CGUGAGUAACCUGCCUUGGAGUGGGGAAUAACAGCUGGAAACAGCUGCUAAUACCGCAUAAUAUAUCUGGGUCGCAUGGCUCUGGAUAUCAAAGAUUUAUCGCUCUGAGAUGGACUCGCGUCUGAUUAGCUGGUUGGCGGGGUAACGGCCCACCAAGGCGACGAUCAGUAGCCGGACUGAGAGGUUGGCCGGCCACAUUGGGACUGAGACACGGCCCAGACUCCUACGGGAGGCAGCAG
rnacentral:rRNA from 1 species